UACGUAGGGUCCGAGCGUUGUCCGGAUUUAUUGGGCGUAAAGAGCUCGUAGGCGGCUCAGUAAGUCGGAUGUGAAAACUCGGGGCUCAACCCCGAGACGCCAUCCGAUACUGCUGUGGCUUGAGUCUGGUAGGGGAACACGGAAUUCCUGGUGUAGCGGUGAAAUGCGCAGAUAUCAGGAGGAACACCAAUGGCGAAGGCAGUGUUCUGGGCCAGUACUGACGCUGAGGAGCGAAAGCGUGGGUAGCAAACAGG
rnacentral:rRNA from 1 species